GACGUAGGUGGCGAACGUUAUCCGGAAUUAUUGGGCGUAAAGGGCGCGUAGGCGGCCUGGCAAGUGGAAGGUGAAAUCCCUCGGCUUAACCGAGGAACUGCCUUCCAAACUGCUUGGCUUGAGUCCGGGAGAGGUGAGUGGAAUUCCCAGUGUAGCGGUGAAAUGCGUAGAUAUCGGGAGGAACACCUGUGGCGAAGGCGGCUUUCUGGGCCUUACCUGACGCUGAGACGCGAAAGCGUGGGUAGCAAACAGG
rnacentral:rRNA from 1 species